CUCCCCUUGUGCCGAAUUGAAAAGGUCCCUUCUGACUGAAGUCCUCCUGUACUUACACAGUUUAGAAGAGAAAAACUCCAAGUCUACAGCCCUCAUGGUCUGUGUGUUUAGGCAAUGGAUCUUUCACCAUCAACUAAAUGAGAUUCUCAGAGUCCAAGACUGCUGGAAGCUGAGCAGAAGCUGAGCAGAAGCUGAGCAGGACUGAAAGCAGACCCGUAUCCCAACUCCCUACUGCCAGAACCCAGGGCCUCCUCAGCCUCUUCUUCCAAGCCCAAG
rnacentral:lncRNA from 1 species